rnacentral:rRNA from 1 species
GACAGAGGGGGCAAGCGUUGCUCGGAAUUACUGGGCGUAAAGGGCGCGUAGGCGGGAUGGCAAGUCGGUCGUGAAAUCCCUCGGCUCAACUGAGGAUCGUCGAUCGAUACUGCCGUUCUUGAGGAUUGCAGAGGAGACUGGAAUUCCCGGUGUAGCGGUGAAAUGUGUAGAGAUCGGGAGGAACACCGGUGGCGAAGGCGGGUCUCUGGGCCGAAACUGACGCUGAGGAGCGAAAGCGUGGGGAGCAAACAGG